rnacentral:rRNA from 1 species
AUUGAACGCUGGCGGCAGGCCUAACACAUGCAAGUCGAGCGAGCGGCGGACGGGUGAGUAAUGUCUGGGAAACUGCCUGAUGGAGGGGGAUAACUACUAGAAACGGUAGCUAAUACCGCAUACCCUCAGAUGUGCCCAGAUGGGUUUAGCUAGUAGGUGGGGUAAUGGCUCACCUAGGCGACGCUCCCUAGCUGGUCUGAGAGGAUGACCAGCAACACUGGAACUGAGACACGGUCCAGACUCCUACGGGAGGCAGCAGUGGGGAAUAUUGCACAAUGGGAGAAAGCCUGAGGCAGCCAUGCCGCGUGUGGGAAGAAGGCCUUCGGGUUGUAAAGCACUUUCAGCGAGGAGGCGUUACUCGCAGAAGAAGCACCGGCUAACUCCGUGCCAGCAGCCGCGGUAAUUC